AUGCAAGUGUGAAUGUUGUCUAUCUGUGUUGGCCCUGUGAUGAGGUAGAGACUUGUCCAGGGUGUACCCCGCCUUCCGCCCAAAUGCAGCUGAGAUAGGCUCCAGCACCCCCUGUGACCCCAAAAGGGACAAGCGGUAGAAAAUGGAUGGAUGGGUUUUAUUUGGGGUCUGGUCAGGUAAACUACAAGGUCAACAUGUAUUUUUAAUUUGUGUCCUCAUGGUUUUAUUUGGGGUCAGGUCAACUACAAGGUCAACAUGUAUUUAAUUUGUGUCAUGGUUUUAUUUGGGGUCAGGUCAACUACAAGGACAACAUGUAUUUAAUUUGUGGUAUGGUUUUAUUUGGGGUCAGGUCAACUACAAGGUCAACAUGUAUUUAACUUGUGUAAUGGUUUUAUUUGGGGUCAGGUCAACUACAAGGACAACAUGUAUUUAAUUUGUGGUGUUAUGGUUUUAUUUGGGGUCAGGUCAACUACAAGGUCAACAUGUAUUUAAUUUGUGUCAUGGUUUUAUUUGGGGUCAGGUCAACUAAAAUGUCAACAUGUAUUUAAUUUGUGGUGUUAUGGUUUUAUUUGGGGUCAGGUCAACUACAAGGUCAAUGUGUAUUUAAUGUGUGUCAUGGUUUUAUUUGGGGUCAGGUCAACUUGAAGGUCAACAUGUAUAUAAUUUGUCCUCAUGGUUUUGGUCAACUACAAAGUCAACAUGUAUUUAACUUGUGUCAUGGUUUUAUUUGGGGUCAGGUCAACUACAAGGUCAACAUGUAUUUAAUUUGUGAUGUUAUGGUUUUAUUUGGGGUCAGGUCAACAUGUAUUUAAUUUGUCCGCAUGGUUUUGGUCAACUACAAAGUCAACAUGUAUAUAUUUUGUGCCCUCAUGGUUUUGGUCAACUACAAAGUCAACAUGUAUGUAUUUUGUGUCCUCAUGGUUUUGGUCAACUACAAGGUCAACAUGUAUGUAUUUUGUGUCCUCAUGGUUUUAUUUGGGGUCAGGUCAACUACAAGGUCAACGUGUAUUUAAUUUGUGGUGUUAUGGUUUUAUUUGGGGUCAGGUCAACUACAAGGUCAAUGUGUAUUUAAUUUGUGUCAUGGUUUUAUUUGGGGUCAGGUCAACUACAAGGUCAACAUGUAUUUAAUUUGUGGUGUUAUGGUUUUAUUUGGGGUCAGGUCAACUACAAGGUCAACAUGUAUUUAACUUGUGUAAUGGUUUUAUUUGGGGUCAGGUCAACUACAAGGACAACAUGUAUUUAAUUUGUGGUGUUAUGGUUUUAUUUGGGGUCAGGUCAACUACAAGGUCAACAUGUAUUUAAUUUGUGUCAUGGUUUUAUUUGGGGUCAGGUCAACUACAAGGACAACAUGUAUUUAAUUUGUGGUGUUAUGGUUUUAUUUGGGGUCAGGUCAACUACAAGGUCAACGUGUAUUUAAUUUGUGUCCUCAUUGUUUUAUUUGGGGUCAGGUCAACUACAAGGUCAACAUGUAUUUAACUUGUGUCAUGGUUUUAUUUGGGGUCAGGUCAACUAAAAGGUCAACGUGUAUUUAAUGUGUGGUGUUAUGGUUUUAUUUGGGGUCAGGUCAACAUGUAUUUAAUUUGUGGUGUUAUGGUUUUAUUUGGGGUCAGGUCAACUACAAGGUCAAUGUGUAUUUAAUUUGUGUCAUGGUUUUAUUUGGGGUCAGGUCAACUUGAAGGUCAACAUGUAUAUAAUUUGUCCUCAUGGUUUUGGUCAACUACAAAGUCAACAUGUAUUUAACUUGUGUCAUGGUUUUAUUUGGAGUCAGGUCAACUACAAGGUCAACAUGUAUUUAAUUUGUCCUCAUGGUUUUGGUCAACUACAAAGUCAACAUGUAUUUAACUUGUGUCAUGGUUUUAUUUGGGGCAGGUCAACUACAAGGUCAACAUGUAUUUAAUUUGUGGUGUUAUGGUUUUAUUUGGGGUCAGGUCAACUACAAGGUCAAUGUGUAUUUAAUUUGUGUCAUGGUUUUAUUUGGGGUCAGGUCAACUUGAAGGUCAACAUGUAUAUAAUUUGUCCUCAUGGUUUUGGUCAACUACAAGGUCAACAUGUAUUUAACUUGUGUCAUGGUUUUAUUUGGGGUCAGGUCAACUACAAGGUCAACAUGUAUUUAAUUUGUGGUGUUAUGGUUUUAUUUGGGGUCAGGUCAACAUGUAUUUAAUUUGUGGUGUUAUGGUUUUAUUUGGGGUCAGGUCAACUACAAGGUCAAUGUGUAUUUAGUUUGUAGUUGACCAAAACCAUGAGGACAAAGUCAACAUGUAUGUAUUUUGUGUCCUCAUGGUUUUGGUCAACUACACGGUCAACAUGUAUGUAUUUUGUGUCCUCAUGGUUUUAUUUGGGGUCAGGUCAACUACAAGGUCAACGUGUAUUUAAUUUGUGUCAUGGUUUUAUUUGGGGUCAGGUCAACUACAAGGUCAAUGUGUAUUUAAUUUGUCAUGGUUCUAUUUGGGGUCAGGUCGACUUUAAGGUCAACAUGUAUAUAAUUUGUCCUCAUGGUUUUGGUCAACUACAUAGUCAACAUGUAUGUAUUUUGUGUCCUCAUGGUUUUAUUUGGGGUCAGGUCAACUACAAGGUCAACAUGUAUGUAUUUUGUGUCCUCAUGGUUUUAUUUGGGGUCAGGUCAACUACAAGGUCAAUAUGUAUUUAAUUUGUGUCCUCAUGGUUUUAUUUGGGGUCAGGUCAACAUGUAUUUAUUUUGUGUCCUCAUGGUUUUAUUUGGGGUCAGGUCAACUACAAGGUCAACAUGUAUUUAAUUUGUCCUCAUGGUUUUAUUUGGGGUCAGGUCAACACGUAUGUAUUUUAUGUCCUCAUGGUUUUGGUCAACUACAAGGUCAACAUGUAUGUAUCUUGUGUCCUCACGGUUUUGGUCAACAGGUAUGUAGUUUGUGUCGUCAUGGUUUUAUUUGGGGUCAGGUCAACUACAAGGUCAAUAUGUAUGUAUUUUGUGUCCUCAUGGUUUUAUUUGGGGUCAGGUCAGUAUGUAUUUUGUGUCAUGGUUUUGGUCAACAUGUAUGUAUUUUGUGUCCUCAUGGUUUUGGUCAAAUACAAGGUCAACAUGUAUGUAUUUUGUGUCCUCGUGGUUUUGGUCAAAUACAAGGUCAACGUGUAUGUAUUUUGUGUCCUUGUGGUUUUGGUCAACUACAAGGUCAACAUGAAUGUAUUUUGUGUCCUCAUGGUUUUGGUCAACAUUAUGUAUUUUGUGUCCUCAUGGUUUUGGUCAACAUGUAUGUAUUUUGUGUCCUCAUGGUUUUGGUCAACAUGUAAGUAUUUUGUGUCCUCAUGGUUUUGGUCGACUACAAGGUCAACAUGAAUGUAUUUUGUGUCCUCAUGGUUUUGGUCAACAUGUAUGUAUUUUGUCCUCGUGGUUUUGGUCAACUACAAGGUCAACAUUAUGUAUUUUGUGUCCUCAUGGUUGUGGUCAACAUGUAUAUGUAUUUUGUGUCCUCAUGGUUUUGGUCAACUACAAGGUCAACAUGCAUAUGUAUUCUGUGUCCUCAUGGUUUUGGUCAACAUGUAUAUGUAUUUUGUGUCCUCAUGGUUUUGGUCAACUACAAGGUCAACCUGUAUAUGUAUUUUGUGUCCUCGUGGUUUUGGUCAACAUAUGUAUUUUGUGUCCUCGUGGUUUUGGGCAACAGUUAUGUAUGUAUAUGUAUUGUGUCAGUUUUGGUCAACUACAAGGUCAACAUGUAUGUGGGGUUUGGUCAACUACAAGGUCGACAAGUAUUUGAUUUGUGUCCUCAUGGUCUCGGUCAACUACAAGCUCCUCUUUCACAUAACUCAAUUGUAGGUUCUCUUUUGGUCCCUUCCCAGAAAAGCUGAUGGUCCUCCAUCAGGUGGAUGAGCUUGCACAUCUUCCUCAGACAUCUCAUCUUCUACCUUGGCCUCCAAACCUUCAACAAAUUGCUCUGAUUUAUAGUUUUGGUUGUUGGGUUGUGUGUUUUGACUCCAUGUGCGUCCAGUAUGUCCUUCACAAAGCUAUGGCUGAUUUCAGUAUGUGGUUCUUCAUCCUCAAGAAUAGGUAUUUAGUGUGUAUCCUCAAAACAAGUCUUCGGAAGAUUAGGACCAUUGUGGUCUUGGGGAUUUUCUAACUCCACCGACAGUUGGUCCUCUUGGUCUCCUACGGGCGUUCCCUCUCCGCAGCGGGCGUGCCUCCGCAAGAGAUCUGCAAUCAACACACCUGCCCGUGAUGAGCGACCAGCCUUCAUAAGCCAGCGUGUCUUAAGAGCCGGUGCCAGAACGUAGCUUCUCGUACCCAGAACACUGUGUCUCGUCUACCUGGACCCCCUUUGGAUUCCCUCCUUUUCUUACUGGACUUCGACCUCACGCCUGCCCACUGACCACGACGCCUCGCUCCUGUCCUCUACCAUCCACCUGCCCUCUGAUGCCCGAGCCUGUGUUUUCCCCUUUUGGACUUCCGCCUCGAUCUCAACACGCACACUCAACGCCCUCUGGUGACCACGCUCGGAUAAUACUUACACAUAGUCACACUACAUCUCUUUAAGCUAAUCACACACUGCACUCACAUACUGAGCUGUCAAUAAACACGCUGACAGCUAACGACGUCAUCGCCAUAUGUAUGUCACCAGCUUUUUUCUACAAAUAAA